rnacentral:rRNA from 1 species
AACGAACGCUGGCGGCAGGCCUAACACAUGCAAGUCGAGCGGACCUUUCGGGGUCAGCGGCGGACGGGUGAGUAACGCGUGGGAAUAUGCCCUUCUCUACGGAAUAGUCCUGGGAAACUGGGGGUAAUACCGUAUACGCCCUUUGGGGGAAAGAUUUAUCGGGGAAGGAUUAGCCCGCGUUGGAUUAGGUAGUUGGUGGGGUAAUGGCCUACCAAGCCGACGAUCCAUAGCUGGUUUGAGAGGAUGAUCAGCCACACUGGGACUGAGACACGGCCCAGACUCCUACGGGAGGCAGCAGUGGGGAAUCUUAAACAAUGGGGGCAACCCUGAUCUAGCCAUGCCGCGUGAGUGAUGAAGGCCUUAGGGUUGUAAAGCUCUUUCAGCUGGGAAGAUAAUGACGGUACCAGCAGAAGAAGCCCCGGCUAACUCCGUG